rnacentral:rRNA from 1 species
CUACGGGCCGCUGCAGUGGGGAAUAUUGCACAAUGGGCGCAAGCCUGAUGCAGCAACGCCGCGUGAACGAAGAAGGUCUUCGGAUCGUAAAGUUCUUUUCUUAGGGAAGAAAAAUGACGGUACCUAAGGAAUAAGCACCGGCUAAAUACGUGCCAGCAGCCGCGGUAAUACGUAUGGUGCAAGCGUUAUCCGGAAUCACUGGGCGUAAAGGGAGCGUAGGCGGUUUUGCAAGUCAGAAGUGAAAGGCUACGGCUCAACCGUGGUAAGCUUUUGAAACUGCAAGACUAGAGUGCAGGAGAGGCAAGUGGAAUUCCUAGUGUAGAGGUGAAAUUCGUAGAUAUUAGGAGGAACACCAGUGGCGAAGGCGACUUGCUGGACUGUAACUGACGCUGAGGCUCGAAAGCGUGGGGAGCGAACAGGAUUAGAUACCCGGGUAGUC